GUCGAAAUAGUUAAAUAGGUUAAAACAGUUUCCUUGUAAGAUUCAGUUGUUGGUUCGACUCCAGCUUUCGACA